CCUACGGAAGGCAGCAGUGGGGAAUAUUGGACAAUGGGCGAAAGCCUGAUCCAGCCAUGCCGCGUGUGUGAAGAAGGCCUUCGGGUUGUAAAGCACUUUCAGUGGGGAAGAAAGCCUUGGGGCUAAUACCCUCGAGGAAGGACAUCACCCACAGAAGAAGCACCGGCUAACUCCGUGCCAGCAGCCGCGGUAAUACGGAGGGUGCGAGCGUUAAUCGGAAUUACUGGGCGUAAAGCGCGCGUAGGCGGUCUGAUAAGCCGGUUGUGAAAGCCCCGGGCUCAACCUGGGAACGGCAUCCGGAACUGUCAGGCUAGAGUGCAGGAGAGGAAGGUAGAAUUCCCGGUGUAGCGGUGAAAUUCGUAGAGAUCGGGAGGAAUACCAGUGGCGAAGGCGGCCUUCUGGACUGACACUGACGCUGAGGUGCGAAAGCGUGGGUAGCAAACAGGAUUAGAUACCCGAGUAGUC
rnacentral:rRNA from 1 species